AGAGAGAGAGAGAUUGGCCAGCUCCCAGCCCCCGUCCCCAUAGGCAAGCCUCCUCUCUCUCUCUCCUCUCUCGUGAGCCCUCUCUCCCCCGCGACUCCUCGCCGCCGCCGCCGCCACGGCCACUCGCGCCGGCCGAUUCCGUCGAGUCCGACAGCGGGUGGCAGACUGAAGACCUUCCCUCGCUCUGCUCCUUCCUCCCAUCCCUCCAGAUCCGGCCUCCCGCGCUCGCUGCCGACCCUCAGCCAUGGCUAGGGUUACGGGCGCGGCGUCCCCUUCGUCGCCGGCGAGGCUUUGGCGGCCUGCGGUGGCUCGUCCCGCCCACGUGUGGCUCCGCCUCAUGGACGUUCCUCUUCAGCGGCGUCGCCGGACUAGCUCCACGCGCGGGUUCCCCAAGGUGAGUGCGAUGCUGAUGAGAGACGGCAUCCGAGGACAUCAUCACGCUCAACUCGAGCUGCUCCCCCACCGUCCCGCAGCCCGCUGCUGCUCCCACCCCCUGCCCCCUCUCCUCUCCCGUCGCCGGGAAAUGGCUACACCACCAGCUCCGCCGCCUCGACGUCCUCGACCACCAGGUGCCUUCCCAGACCCGCGGUCUAUCUAUCCUCCGUUCUGCUCGAUUGUGCGGAUUUUUUUUUUCAAUGUCGAUUUGGAGAUGAGCUAGCAGUUUUCGAUACGAUCAAAUUUGCUGGACUAGCCUUGUGGAGUUUUUUUUUCCGUAGUCGGUGGAUUCGUCGAGAAAAUUAAGCCUUUUCGUGUAUCAGCUUCGAUGUUUCUGUAUAACAGGUUAACCAAAACUUUGCAAGUUGAUGCUCUGAGGUUAGGACUCCGAAGUCUGACAAGCACUUCCGCUUCAACCAGAGUCACCUACAGCAAUAGGUGCUCCAAUGCAUAUUCGACUUGUUGUGCUACAGAGCCAGUGCUCCAAUGCAUAUUCGACUUGUUGUGCUACAAAGCCAGAAGCGCUACCAGUGGAAACACCCUCAUCGGAUAUGCUUGUUGAUUCCUUCGGGAGGUUCCACAACUACUUGAGGAUCUCCUUGACUGAGCGCUGUAACUUGAGAUGUCAAUACUGCAUGCUUGCCUUAGUCUAGAGACAUUAAAUAUUAGUUUGAACACAUUGGUUCCUGCAAAUUCGGAGGCAAAGAAAGUCCACUGAAGAAGCUCUCUGUAACUGCUAUUUAGUCUUCAAACACACAUGCCUAUUAUAUCAUGGAGGACUAUUUUAGUGAGCAUUGUUAAAUAGUAGUAUAUGGAAGAUGUGGCUUCAACUGUCCGAAAUUUCCACUUUGAGCUCACAAGUAGUUAUUUCUGUAAGCCAUUGUUCUUGUUCUCUUUCUUUUGUUUAGCCCUUUUCUGAACUGGCAUAGGUUUCGUUGGCAACCUUCCCCUACACCACAACCUAUGUUCCAUAAGCAAGUUUAUUUAUACUGCCCAAAAUUUACUAAUAUGGGUUGGAUCAUGCAUUUGCAACUUAUAGUGUUUGUUCUUUUUAUUGUGCUAUUAACACAGCACCUUACAAAAGUUGUGUCUUUGAAAUAAUGGUCAAACUGCUCUCUGCAGUCCUAUCAUUAAUUAUGAUUUUGAAGCAAAACUAUCAGUAUCUAAUUCUAACAGUAUGAUAGCACCCUGGUUAUAUUUGUAGGUUUUUAGGCUGGGCACAUAUAUGUCAUAUUUUUCAUCAAUAAAAUAGCUUAUAAUAUGUAACUACAAAAGACGAGUAAAACCUGUUCACUGGAACCAUAGAAAAGCUAUUCCUUUUACGUUUGGUGAGCACAAAACAUACAUAAAGAUUUUGAAUCUGCAUUUAUUGAACUCUCUACAGGCCUACUGCAUUCGGAUUUAUUGUUCCGUACUGGAAGUGCCUGAAGAGCUUGAAUCGUCCAUUUUGUAUUAGAAUGAGAUUUAAGAUUCAGUACAGGAGUCAAGAUGUUAAUGAGAGGCGAUCUAGAAUGAUUACAGGUAUUAAUGAAGUAGACCCCAUUAGGUGGAUUGGUUCAAAAUGGAAAAGCCUGCUGGUAAGAUGGGAUGAUGGCUCAGACUGUAACAGCCAAAAUAGACCAUCUCCAUGGGAGAUCGAGAUAGUUGGUGGCUCAGUCUCCAUUGCCCAGUCUGUCAAAAUCCAGUUCUAAACUAGCUAAACUGUGCCCUCGGGGCAAUUUAGACGUCUCAAACUAAAGCAACUCGAGUUGCGGUGGUGGUCCGCAACUCCAUCACCGUCUUCCUCGGCAGGAGCAUCCGCCGCUGCUGCUCGCCGUCUGUCCACGGCACCGGUGUUGGUCUCCUUCUCACCUUCCGUGCUCUCUUCCCAUCCCGCCUCCCACUGCCGCCACCACUGCUCGAGGAUGCCCUGUGGAUUUGGAUUUUUCACAAUCGGUACACAGUAAAGUACUUUUGGAUUGGCCGGGCGGUGAGCUGCAGUGCCGCUAGCUCGUCGACGACGGCUACGAUGCCAUCUGUUGCGUCCCUUGGUUCUUUCUCCUCGACAUCGACCUUCUUGACGGUAUGGUCUUCCUCCUCUUCCCCUCCCUUAAUUUCUAUGGUUUUUAAGUUGGUUCAGUAGUUGAUUCACGGUCCAUGAGUUUGGAUAAAACGACAGGCGGCGGCAGAAAGAGCCGUUCCACGACGAAUCUCUGGUACAAUGGCUCCUUCCUUGGUUUCCCCGGUUCUGGAUUCAAGUUCCUAAUAAAUGGAUACUGUUUUUUCUUGAUUGUGACUUUUGGAAUUUUUUAUUUGAUAGAUGAGAGGGCAAGCAAAAGGUGAUCAAUCAAUGGAGACGAAGUAUUUGUCAAAUUGCUUGCAAGGGUGGUGAGAAUUUAUUGGUCGUCAUUUGUCUAGUGUCAUAAUCUUAGAGCCUUUUCUGAUUCUCUAGAAUGUUGGAACAGUCUUGUUGUUUCAGUUUACAUUUGGAUGGUCAUGGUCUGUGCAGAUGAAGUUCUUUUGGAUUAAUUUUUCCACCCUAACAGUUCCUUCCCUGUUAUAUCUCAGGCUGUACGAUCUCUGCAGAUUGCCGCUUCUUUGUUCUGCCGGUGGAGGUUCAGUGUAUCAUUGCAAGUUCCUUACACCGGCAAAUUCAGUAUUUUUGUAUUUUUUUGGACGCACGCCUGUUCUUCGACUAUAAAACAGCAGAGAUUUCUUUUUUUCUCGAGUCUAAUCAUUUUUUGAUGCAUUGCAGCUUUGCUAUCAAACUCUCAAAAAGGAAAAAGCAACUUUAUUCUAAUUUUUGGAGAUCCUUCAUGUAGAGUCACUACCUCGACAGAGACAAAUAUGCAAUCGAGAAUAUAUUCGAUGGGUUUUCACUUCUCAGGCAAAGCUUGGAGGAUAUUUUUACUGGUUCAACGUUUGCUUUAUUGCUUUCUUACCUUUCGUUCUUCAAGACAAUAUUUUCCUAGCAGUGCUCGAUAACUUUAAAUCCAUCUUUUUGUUCUUUGCAUUAUCACAAAACAGUGUUGUUCUACCUUUUUGUUUUUGAAUUUUGAUUGAUCAUGAGCAACGACAAUGCAACCUACAAGUAACUAUUAUGUUUUCUCCAGUCCUCUGUCCAUAUUCUAUUAAUUGGUGACUUAUCUAUACGUAGUUAAUACACUCGGUUGUAGUUUUAUAUCAUGUUUCCUUUAGGUUUGUACGUAGGAUGUUCCUUUUAUUUUUUAGACUCUAAUGUUCCUGAUGACAUACAUACAUCUUGCUGUUUUGGAAACUGCUUCUUCUUGGGAAUAAUGUUGGAUCUUUCCUGAGAUGGUUUACUAUAUUAAUCCCUUGAAAUCAUUAGGCCAGUAAUAAAGGUUGCAUUUCAUCACAUUGAGGUAACAUUCUAAUUUGUGCUAUCUCAGGUUCAGAAGGUUGGUGAAACCCGAAGGUCAC